rnacentral:rRNA from 1 species
UACAGAGGGUGCGAGCGUUAAUCGGAAUUACUGGGCGUAAAGCGCACGUAGUCGGCUUUGCAUGUCGGGUGUGAAAUCCCCGGGCUCAACCUGGGAACUGCAUCCGAGACUGCAUUGCUAGAGUAUGGGAGAGGGAAGCGGAAUUUCUGGUGUAGCGGUGAAAUGCAUUGAGAUCAGAAAGAACACCAACGGCGAAAGCACUCUGCUGGGCCGACACUGACACUGAGAGACGAAAGCGAGGGGAGCAAAUGGG